rnacentral:ribozyme from 1 species
UGCUCAGCAACUCCUAUCCCUAGCUCUUUGUGGUACUGGCCGUGGUACGAGCAACCUUUGGGAAGAUCCCGGUGGGAACUUUGGUCGUGUGUUGACAGGGAAGG